rnacentral:rRNA from 1 species
GAUGAACGCUGGCGGCAUGCCUAAUACAUGCAAGUCGAGCGAACAGACGGGGAGCUUGCUCCUCUGAUGUUAGCGGCGGACGGGUGAGUAACACGUGGAUAACCUACCUAUAAGACUGGGAUAACUUCGGGAAACCGGAGCUAAUACCGGAUAACAUGUUGAACCGCAUGGUUCAACAGUGAAAGACGGUCUUGCUGUCACUUAUAGAUGGAUCCGCGCCGCAUUAGCUAGUUGGUAAGGUAACGGCUUACCAAGGCAACGAUGCGUAGCCGACCUGAGAGGGUGAUCGGCCACACUGGAACUGAGACACGGUCCAGACUCCUACGGGAGGCAGCAGUAGGGAAUCUUCCGCAAUGGGCGAAAGCCUGACGGAGCAACGCCGCGCGAGUGAAGAAGGUCUUCGGAUCGUAAAACUCUGUUAUUAGGGAAGAACAAAUGUGUAAGUAACUAUGCACGUCUUGACGGUACCUAAUCAGAAAGCCACGGCUAACUACGUG